UAUGUGAUCGUCUCUCGCAUAUCAAUAAGCGGAGGAAAAGAAACUAACAAGGAUUCCCCUAGUAACGGCGAGUGAAGCGGGAAGAGCUCAAAUUUGAAAUCUUAAAGGGUUUCCCUUUACGAAUUGUAGUUUAAAGAAGUGUUUUCUGUUGAGGUUUUGGUAAAAGUUCUUUGGAAUAGGACAUCAUAGAGGGUGAGAAUCCCGUAUUUGACCUUUACUUUCAACUUUGUGAUACACUUUCAAAGAGUCGGAUUGUUUGGGAAUGCAGUCCAAAAUGGGUGGUAAAUUUCAUCUAAAGCUAAAUAUUGGCGAGAGACCGAUAGCGAACAAGUACCGUGAGGGAAAGAUGAAAAGAACUUUGAAAAGAGAGUUAAACAGUACGUGAAAUUGUCAAAAGGGAAGCGUUUGACACCAGUGUUGUUUUUCUGAAAAUCAAUUAAAGAACUGUUUAUGCUAAGUUGUUUAGACUUUAUCAGCUAUCUGUUUAGUUUUGAGCUUUUCUUUAAUGCACUUUUCAGUUAACAAGUCAACAUCAAUUUCUUUUGCUGUAAAAAAGCUUGAGGAAGGUGGCUUGAGAUUCGUCUUAAGUGUUUAUAGCCUCUUGCCUAUGCAGUCGGAGAGAUUGAGGUCUGCAGCGUAGAUCCUUCGGGGCUAAAUGCAUUUGUGCUAAGUUAUAGCAUUUCAUAGACAACUUGUUGACUAUGAUUUGUCUUGUAGCUUACUCGCUUAUGUUAUUUUACCUACGCUUAGGAUGUUGAUAUGCAUGACUGAUAU
rnacentral:rRNA from 1 species